rnacentral:rRNA from 1 species
AACGUAGGACACAAGCGUUAUCCGGAGUUACUGGGCGUAAAGGGCGUGUAGGCGGAGAUGUAAGUCUAUUCUGAAAGCUCCUGGCUAAACUGGGAGAGGCGAAUGGAGACUGCAUAUCUAGAGUGAGGAAGAGGAAAGUGGAAUUCCGCGUGUAGUGGUGAAAUGCGUAGAGAUGCGGAGGAACACCAGUGGCGAAGGCGGUCUGCUGGGCCGUUGCUGACGCUGAGGCGCGACAGCGUGGGGAGCAAACAGG